rnacentral:misc_RNA from 1 species
GUAGGUGAACCUGCGGAAGGAUCAUUACAGAAUGAACUUGAUAGGCUGUCGCUGGCUCCCUCGGGGGCAUGUGCACGCCCAUCAUUUUUAUAUCUCCACCUGUGCAUCAUUUGUAGUUCUGGAAUACUUUGCAGUGAAAACUUCUGGGUUUUGGCUGUGUCUGAAGAGCUGCUGCGCUCUACAAAAGCCAGCUUUCCUUCGUAUUUUCCAGAUCUAUGUUUUUCUUCAUAUACACCAUGUAUGUUAGAGA